CCCUUGAUUCCUAGAAAGUGUGCUUCCUAGUUGAGUCAGUCCCCUUGAUUCCUAAAAGGUGUCCUUCCUAGUCGAGUCAGUCCCCUUGAUUCCUAGAAGAUGUACUUUCUAGUCGAAUCAUUGUACUUAACCCCUAGGGGAUGCACUUCCUUGUCAGUUUUUAUUUAUCAGGUGGCACACUUCCUAAUUUGAACCUUUAGCUCUAGAAUACACACUUUCUAGUCGGAAUUCCUCACUUUAAUUCUUAGGAGACACACUUCUUAGUCUUGGUCAUUUAAUUUUACUCUCUAGAGAUGCAUUUCUUGGUUAGAGUCUUGAUUCAUCAUUGCAACAUACAAAUAAUUAUGAUUGGAUUCGACAUUCACAAAAGUCCUCUUAUGAUAAACUGGGGCAACAAAUCUAACUCCUGUUGUUUGGAACUUUACUUUUCCGGUAAAUGGAAUCUCUCAUUAUAAUAAUCUUUGUUUGGAAUAAUUUUCUUUCUAGUUUUGAUAAGAUUUCAGGAGCCUGCCUGAAGAACAGGGCGAAUAAGUUGAAAGUCAAGCAACAAAGUGAAGAAGUUGAAAGUCAAACAACAAGGCCAACAAGUUGAAAAACAAGCAACAAAAUGAAGAAAUUGAAAGUUAACAUAUUGAAAAAGAGCAAGUCGGGAACCCGCCUGGAUAACAGGGUGAAGAAAUUGAAAGUCAACAGAUUGAAAAAUACCAAGUCAGGAUCCUGCCUAGAGAACAGGGUGAAGGAAUUGAAAGUCAAGCAACAAGUUAAAGAAAUUGCAAGUUAGGAGCCCGCCUGGAGAAUAAAGUGAUGAAAUUACAAGUCGGGAGCCCACCCGGAGAUCAGGGUGCUGAAACUCAAGUCAAGAGUCGAAAAGUAGCUGCAUAGAUAGGAAUUUUGUAAUUUUAGUUAUCUUUUAACUUAUAACUUUUAUUUUUGAUGUAAUGACAGAGUCGCGGACCGAAACCUCGACAAGUAUUCACUCGACCCUCCUACUCGGUUGUCCUUCUUCCUACUAUUUCUUUCUUCGAAUAAUGGUCCGGUCAAAAUUUGGUCUCGUUGUCUUCUUUUUUUUCUGAAAACACUUUGUGUUUACACCCAAAAAGCGUCAUGAUGUAGACACAUAAUUUUAUCCCUCCCGAAGUCCAAUUUAUUCAUUUUUUCCUCACCGUAUCACCCAUAUGAUUAUACCCCCCAAAAAAUACAAAAAUAAUAAAAUUCCAAUAAAUCCAUAACAAAUUAAUACCUCACGCUAAUAAAAAUAACAACCUACCCCUUCCCCAUACCCACAUACCCCACCUCUUACCCACAUACCCCUACCUCGCCCCUCAAUCAAAGGCAAAUUUUCUUUCCCAUUAAACGGAAUUCACACAUAUUAUAUACAUAUACACACACCAUUAAAAUGUAAACUCUAUCACCACCAUCGAGACUCACUCAGAUAACAACAACACAGAUUCCCUUCACAAUUCAUCACACACAUGCACUCAUACAACAUCCUCCAUCGAGAAUUCACAAAACACACUCAAUUCACACACAUAAAUACACACAUUCAUAAACUCAUCUCCAAUGGGAAUCACUCAUCCUCACAGCUUCAUCCACGAACAAACUCGUACGCACACUGCCAUCGCACAUAUGCACAUACAGAGAAGCCGAAGGAAGAUAUAGACUAAGAGAGAGAAAGGUGAGUGGUUUGGGUGACAAAAAAUAGGCAGAUUCAACUAUUUUCUGGUAAGUUUGUUUUUCCAGAAUCGGAAUCGGAAUACCCUUACGGAAAUGGGUCAUUCACAACCCCAAAAAUUGCUAUUCCCUUUUUUGUGGUCUUUCUCCAGCGAAAGACCUAUUUCAUGGACUGUCUGGUCCGCCGUAGCUCUGAUAUGAUGGAAACGAUAAUCCGGCCCUGAUUCCAACAAGCCAUUUAAGCCUAGUUUGAAAUCAGCAAAUUGGGUUUCGUUUGGAAGUUUCUUAUUGGUUUUGUGUUUUCUUCGAGUUGCGGUCUCGUUUGUUGACUGUUGAGGUUUGAUUCAAGGUUCUGAAUCUGAAAGGCUCCUCCAUAUUUAAUUGAAAAUAAAUCAUCAAAUUGAGUUUAAUACAGAGAUAUUGGUAGGUGAUGCAUUUACCAAUCAGUUUGAUGAUAAGAGAAUACUUACAAAGAGCAUAUAAUCAUUCUUUUGUUAUCUUCUUGAGAAAGGUUAAUAGAUGCGAUACCAUCGGAGAGUUUCUCCACGCUUUUUGUUGCGUUAAUGGAGCUCUAAAAAGCAUGAAGAUCCCUCAUGGAAAUAUCCCCGUAAAUUCAUAGGCUAAUAGUUUUGCUUUGAAACUUGGUGAUUGCUCUACUUUGGGAGGUUUUGGUGGAUUUUCACAAGGUAGGGGAGCUGUAUUCAUGUUAGAUUGCUAAAAGGGAAAGAAAAUGGAAAUAGUUGAGGGGUUGUAUACUUUCUUCAUUGUAAAUCAUCCCUCAUGAGAAAUAACAAUUACUCUCUCUAUUCUCUCUA